rnacentral:rRNA from 1 species
GACGAACUUUGGCGGCGUGCUUAACACAUGCAAGUCGAACGGAAAGGCCCUGCUUUUGUGGGGUGCUCGAGUGGCGAACGGGUGAGUAACACGUGAGUAACCUGCCCUUGACUUUGGGAUAACUUCAGGAAACUGGGGCUAAUACCGGAUAGGAGCUCCUGCUGCAUGGUGGGGGUUGGAAAGUUUCGGCGGUUGGGGAUGGACUCGCGGCUUAUCAGCUUGUUGGUGGGGUAGUGGCUUACCAAGGCUUUGACGGGUAGCCGGCCUGAGAGGGUGACCGGCCACAUUGGGACUGAGAUACGGCCCAGACUCCUACGGGAGGCAGCAGUGGGGAAUAUUGCACAAUGGGCGGAAGCCUGAUGCAGCAACGCCGCGUGCGGGAUGACGGCCUUCGGGUUGUAAACCGCUUUCGCCUGUGACGAAGCGUGAGUGACGGUAAUGGGUAAAGAAGCACCGGCUAACUACGUGCCAGCAGCCGCGGUGAUACGUAGGGUGCGAGCGUUGUCCGGAUUUAUUGGGCGUAAAGGGCUCGUAGGUGGUUGAUCGCGUCGGAAGUGUAAUCUUGGGGCUUAACCCUGAGCGUGCUUUCGAUACGGGUUGACUUGAGGAAGGUAGGGGGAGAAUGGAAUUCCUGGUGGAGCGGUGGAAUGCGCAGAUAUCAGGAGGAACACCAGUGGCGAAGGCGGUUCUCUGGGCCUUUCCUGACGCUGAGGAGCGAAAGCGUGGGGAGCGAACAGGCUUAGAUACCCUGGUAGUCCACGCUGUAAACGGUGGGUACUAGGUGUGGGGUCCAUUCCACGGGUUCCGUGCCGUAGCUAACGCUUUAAGUACCCCGCCUGGGGAGUACGGCCGCAAGGCUAAAACUCAAAGGAAUUGACGGGGCCCCGCACAAGCGGCGGAGCAUGCGGAUUAAUUCGAUGCAACGCGUAGAACCUUACCUGGGUUUGACAUGGAUCGGGAGUGCUCAGAGAUGGGUGUGCCUCUUUUGGGGUCGGUUCACAGGUGGUGCAUGCCUGUCGUCAGCUCGUGUCGUGAGAUGUUGGGUUAAGUCCCGCAACGAGCGCAACCCUUGUUCACUGUUGCCAGCACGUUAUGGUGGGGACUCAGUGGAGACCGCCGGGGUCAACUCGGAGGAAGGUGGGGAUGACGUCAAGUCCUCAUGCCCCUUAUGUCCAGGGCUUCACGCAUGCUACAAUGGCUGGUACAGAGAGUGGCGAGCCUGUGAGGGUGAGCGAAUCUCGGAAAGCCGGUCUCAGUUCGGAUUGGGGUCUGCAACUCGACCUCAUGAAGUCGGAGUCGCUAGUAAUCGCAAAUCAGCAACGCUGCGGUGAAUACGUUCCCGGGGC